rnacentral:rRNA from 1 species
UACGUAGGGUGCAAGCGUUGUCCGGAAUCAUUGGGCGUAAAGAGCGCGUAGGCGGCCCUGUAAGUCCGCUGUGAAAGUCAAGGGCUCAACCCUUGGAUGCCGGUGGAUACUGCAGGGCUAGAGUCCGGAAGAGGCGAGUGGAAUUCCUGGUGUAGCGGUGAAAUGCGCAGAUAUCAGGAGGAACACCGAUGGCGAAGGCAGCUCGCUGGGACGGUACUGACGCUGAGCGCGAAAGCGUGGGAGCAAACAGG